GGGAUUUGUAUCUCUCUUGAAAAGCUUGAUGAUUUGAGCCUUGGACUGUAUGAGGAUUUUGGUCAAGGAAUAGCUGAAACUAUACAGUUGCGUCCUUCUUCUGGUAUCCACAGCAAGGAGGUGUGUACACACAUCUCUUUCUUCAAAAAGAUGAAUGUGAUUCUAUCACACUUACUCACUCCUGCUACAACAGAAGUUGAUUCCUUGUUCAGAACGUUUAAACUUUCUGUACUUCUGAGGUGAGCAACCAUCAAAAUUAUUUUAGCUGACCUUUUAUUCCUGCAGCCUGGGGAAAGAAGGUUGAGUUUUAACUCAAGAGUUGGUUCUGCUGCUCCCUUUCCCUAUCAUUUUGUCUCUACAAAUUAGCUGCAAGUUCUGCUUACCAUAUACCUUUGAAUUUUUUGCCUAUAUGAGAAAGUCUGAGUGUUGUUUAGGCAGUCUUUGUGAAAGAUUGUAUCCUGAGCCAAGCAUUUAAAGUACACUUUUAAUGAGCUCUGUCUCUACUUGAAAUUUUUUUUAUUUUUUCCCUUUGCUGCCUUUUCUGGCUUCCAUACAGAGUUUCUAUUAUGUUUGAAAGUAUACAGUUUAAAACUCAGAUUUUCUGUUUUCUGAGUGACCCCAUGCUUCUACGUGCACCCUUCCCCAUUUAGCAAUAUCUUUAAAUACAAUUUAUCACAGUGCAGUAUAAUCCCUAGGACCAGGAACACAAAGUCACUGGCAGUGAGGGCUCAGGGAGCUCAAGGUCAAGUUUCUCUUGUCCCAUUGCAACCUGUGUUCAGGAGCAUUUCCACAAGAGAGACUAUUUUAGUUCUUCAGAAUGGCUUCCUCUCUUGAAGUGUUUACCUCAUUGAAACAGUUCCUCUAAGCAAGCAUAAGGUAGUUUAUCUAAUGACCUAAUUAUUUCAUUAACUGCACGAAUUUCCAGGGCUAUACACUUAGAGAUAAGUACAUUGGUCUAAGAAAAUAUCAGGUAAAAUGUGUUCCUUGCCUCUCUGAACUUCCCUUCAUUUUCUCUUAACAGUGUUUCUAGAGUAGAUGUUUAGUUUCAUUGUGACUCAUUUUAUUUUUUUAACUUAAUGCUAUCUGAAAUUCGGGGUAAUAAUUACUUUGUUCAGGAUUGAUGUGGACAGAAGUAACUUGAUUUUGGUUAAAUCAGUUCAUUCUAUAUGGAAGCAACUGAACAUCAGAACUGAAACCUAACCUUCUUUUAGAUGAUCAUCUAAAAAGUCCUUAAUCUGUAGAG
rnacentral:lncRNA from 1 species